AACGAACGCUGGCGGCAGGCCUAACACAUGCAAGUCGAACGCUCCGCAAGGGGAGUGGCGCACGGGUGAGUAACGCGUGGGAAUAUGCCCUUCGGUUCGGAAUAACACGGGGAAACUUGUGCUAAUACCGGAUACGAUCUACGGAUGAAAGAUUUAUCGCCGAGGGAGUAGCCCGCGUAGGAUUAGCUAGUUGGUGAGGUAAUGGCUCACCAAGGCGACGAUCCUUAGCUGGUCUGAGAGGAUGAUCAGCCACACUGGGACUGAGACACGGCCCAGACUCCUACGGGAGGCAGCAGUGGGGAAUAUUGGACAAUGGGCGAAAGCCUGAUCCAGCCAUGCCGCGUGAGUGAUGAAGGCCUUAGGGUUGUAAAGCUCUUUCGCCAGGGAAGAUAAUGACGGUACCUGGAAAAGAAGCCUCGGCUAACUCCGUGCCAGCCGCCGCGGUAA
rnacentral:rRNA from 1 species